rnacentral:rRNA from 1 species
GACGAACGCUGGCGGCGUGCUUAACACAUGCAAGUCGAACGGAAAGGCCCUGCUUUUGUGGGGCGCUCGAGUGGCGAACGGGUGAGUAACACGUGAGUAACCUGUCCUUGACUUUGGGAGAACUUCAGGAAACUGGGGCUAAUACCGGAUAGGAGCUCCUGCUGCAUGGGGGGGGUUGGAAAGUUUCGGCGGUUGGGGAUGGACUCGCGGCUUAUCAGCUGGAUGGUGGGGUAGUGGCGUACCAAGGCUUUGACGGGUAGCCGGCCUGGGAGGGUGACCGGCCACAUUGGGACUGAGAUACGGCCCAGACUCCUACGGGAGGCAGCAGUGGGGAAUAUUGCACAAUGGGCGGAAGCCUGAUGCAGCAACGCCGCGUGCGGGAUGACGGCCUUCGGGUUGUAAACCGCUUUCGCCUGUGACGAAGCGUGAGUGACGGUAAUGGGUAAAGAAGCACCGGCUAACUACGUG